CUCUAAGACGUAUUCACUAACAAAGAAUUGCAGCAAACUGAAAUGCAAAAAAGGCUGAUCUUGAAAAAUCCUCUAAGUCAUAACUUAUUUGAGCCUGAAUUCAGUGUUCAAUUCACUACAAAUCAGAGUUUAGAGAAUAAACCCUGUAUGCAGGGUUUUCAAUUUGUAUACUGCAUAGCCAUAGGCAAUAUGACAUUUCCCUUACUCUUGCAGAUAAAUUAG